rnacentral:rRNA from 1 species
AUACGGAGGAUGCGAGCGUUAUCCGGAUUUAUUGGGUUUAAAGGGUGCGUAGGCUGUGCGUUAAGUCAGGGGUGAAAUGCCGUCGCUCAACGACGGAGCUGCCCUUGAUACUGGCGUGCUGGAGUACGGAUGCCGUUGGAGGAAUGAGUGGUGUAGCGGUGAAAUGCUUAGAUAUCACUCAGAACACCGAUUGCGAAGGCAUCUGACGAAUCCGUCACUGACGAGGAGGCACGAAAGCGUGGGGAUAGAACAGGAUUAGAUACCCUGGUAUUCCACGCCGUAAACGAUGAUGACUAACCGUCGGCGAUAGACAGCCGGUGGCCAAGCGAAAGCGAUAAGUCAUCCACCUGGGGAGUACGGCGGCAACGAUGAAACUCAAAUGAAUUGACGGGG